GGCUCGGUGGUUUAGCUGUCAAAGCACGCGUCUAGCAUACAAGAGUCGUGGGUUCGAAUCUCACCUGAGCAC
rnacentral:tRNA from 1 species